UACGUAGGGGGCUAGCGUUGUCCGGAAUCAUUGGGCGUAAAGAGCGUGUAGGCGGUCCGGUAAGUCCGCUGUGAAAGUCGGGGGCUCAACCCUCGAAUGCCGGUGGAUACUGUCGGGCUAGAGUGCGGAAGAGGCGAGUGGAAUUCCUGGUGUAGCGGUGAAAUGCGCAGAUAUCAGGAGGAAUACCAGUGGCGAAGGCGGCUUUCUGGGCCUGUUCUGACGCUGAGGAGCGAAAGCGUGGGGAGCAAACCGG
rnacentral:rRNA from 1 species